rnacentral:rRNA from 1 species
UACGAAGGGUGCAAGCGUUAUUCGGAAUUACUGGGCGUAAAGGGUGCGUAGGCGGUUCGUUAAGUCUGUCGUGAAAUCCCCGGGCUCAACCUGGGAAUGGCGAUGGGUACUGGCGAGCUAGAGUGUGUCAGAGGAUGGUGGAAUUCCCGGUGUAGCGGUGAAAUGCGCAGAUAUCGGGAAGAACACCCGUGGCUAGGGCGGCUCUCUAGUACGGUACUGACGCUGAGACGCGAAAGCGUGGGGAGCGAACAGG